rnacentral:rRNA from 1 species
UUGAUCCCUGGCUCAGGAUGAACGCUGGCGGCGUGCCUAAUACAUGCAAGUCGAGCGAAUGGAUUAAGAGCUUGCUCUUAUGAAGUUAGCGGCGGACGGGUGAGUAACACGUGGGUAACCUACCCAUAAGACUGGGAUAACUCCGGGAAACCGGGGCUAAUACCGGAUAAUAUUUUGAACUGCAUAGUUCGAAAUUGAAAGGCGGCUUCGGCUGUCACUUAUGGAUGGACCCGCGUCGCAUUAGCUAGUUGGUGAGGUAACGGCUCACCAAGGCAACGAUGCGUAGCCGACCUGAGAGGGUGAUCGGCCACACUGGGACUGAGACACGGCCCAGACUCCUACGGGAGGCAGCAGUAGGGAAUCUUCCGCAAUGGACGAAAGUCUGACGGAGCAACGCCGCGUGAGUGAUGAAGGCUUUCGGGUCGUAAAACUCUGUUGUUAGGGAAGAACAAGUGCUAGUUGAAUAAGCUGGCACCUUGACGGUACCUAACCAGAAAGCCACGGCUA